UACGUAGGGGGCAAGCGUUGUCCGGAAUUAUUGGGCGUAAAGAGCGCGUAGGCGGUCCGAUAAGUCGGCUGUGAAAGUCCAGGGCUCAACCCUGGAAAGCCGGCCGAUACUGUCGGACUAGAGUCCGGAAGAGGCAAGUGGAAUUCCCGGUGUAGCGGUGAAAUGCGCAGAUAUCGGGAGGAACACCAAUGGCGAAGGCAGCUUGCUGGGACGGUACUGACGCUGAGGCGCGAAAGCGUGGGUAGCAAACAGG
rnacentral:rRNA from 1 species